AAGGGAACGCUGGUUCAGCCAGCAUCCUCCAACCCAGUGUGUACCCGCCUUGUUGCCUCGGCGUGCCUGCGCCGUCCGUGGCGCUGCCGGCCCCCGGCUGGAUAGCGCACGCCAGAGGAAUGUUAAACUCAAGCUUGAACGAGUGAUGUCUGAGCUUUAAAUCAAAUACGUUA
rnacentral:misc_RNA from 1 species